rnacentral:lncRNA from 1 species
CCCAUAAAAACUUGGUAAAUAAUCAGGCCAGUCCAAAACAAGCAAACUUGGUCAACAUAUACAGGGUCUUAAUGACUGAAAGCAUUUCAUAGACAUAUCAAGACUAAAUCAAAGCAAAAGCAAAAACUGCAGAGGGAACAAGAAAAGUUAUUAGAGAGCUAUACCAAAGCUGUAGCCCUAUGGUUUAGCUGUGAUAACUGGAGGUCCAACACUUCUAAAAGACUCCAUAUAAUUGUCGGUAACAACUGUCAGCCUCCACCCUGGAGUCACGCUUCCACUCUUGGUUUGCCAAUGCGCGAGAAAAAUGGAACAUAGGGAAGAUAUGGAGGAAAUGUGUCAUACAAGUGAUAUUUUAGACUGCAGAUAACACAAACUUUACCACGGUCCAUGUCAUAUGACAGUAGCACAUCCUUGCACCUCCAAACAAAGAAUAUCAAAUUGCAUUCAGGAUGGAUUGCGAUCAAAGCAUAGUCCCUCUGGAACAAGAGAUCAGCAUAGUCCCGUUGUAACAUGUGAUUUUUCUCCCCAAAAAGCUCCCCAAAAAGUUGUGAAGUGCUGAUGUUGUACUUAAAGAUCCAUUCAUUACCAUUAUAGUCCUCAAGAAUCCAGACUGAUAAUUUGGAGCUAUCGUUGUCUCUCAUAUUUAUAAAAUACAAUCGCCCUUGAGAUUGACCAAUAAAAGCCAGAGGACCUAAACAAAUGUUUCCAACACACAUGGUUUCAAGCAAAGAAAUGGUCCUCCAUGUCUUGCCUUCCGUGUCAACUGCUAGUAUCUUAAACUCACAUGUGAGCAAGUGCAUCAUUCCAUUGAAAAAGACACCUCUCAUGUCAACUAUCUGAAUCUCAUUGUCGCCCCAACCAUUUUCCUUGUAACUCCAGGCUCCUGUCUCUGAUGAGUAGAUAUUAACACCUGAGAUAUAUCCAUAGUCCUCAUCACCCUCUAGGAUCUGGAACACAUGGAAGUGGGGUGACAUGGCUCCAUCGAAACCCAAACGGUACGCCAAUGCAUCGCUUUUAUGGCCAGCAUCAGGCAGGAUUACCCAUUCCUCAGUGGCAGGAUUACAUACCACAUAAUCAGCUUCGUCUAUUGGGGAGUCCUUCCAGCAGAGGCAGAAAAUAAGGCCAUUGCAGCAGUCCUUUGGCAAAAUCUGCCUGUAUCCCGUCAAGAAGGACAACGAGGAAUCAGGGAAUAGCUGCUCUUGGUCCCUUGAUAUACCAUCAAAAGUGGGAAAUGCUAUCAAACCAUCCUCAUAGUUGAGUCUGUGCUUGGGGUAGAAGAAGCCGGAGAUGGUCUGGGGCAGCUUUUUGCGGUGUUGGGAGAUGAGGAGGUACCAGAGCCGGGAGACACACUUGAAUCGGCACACUGACUUGACGGGCAGCAGGGACAGAAUCUCGAUGAUAAGGUCAUCUGUCAGGUCAGCAGCGGAGGUUGUCCCGUUCUUGGAGCAGUUCAUCUGUGUGCAAGCCAUUCUGACAAGUAGAGACGGAACACUAAAAUAGUCAUAUCAAAUAUCAGUGCAUGACAGAAUGAAAGGAAGAGCACGGAGGAAGAACAGGCAUACCAGUCUACUGAAGCAGGGAGCGGCAACGAUGGAAGUGGCUAUCAAUGGCGGUUCUGCGGCUGACGGCUGGGAACAAUAGUUACAGUGGCUCAGAUAGUUGAAUAAAAUGCCAAACAACAAAGAAUAAAUCAAAAUAGUACAAGCUAUUGACAGCGACGUGUAACAAGUUGUACUAUUUGAAACUUACUGGUUAGAAACAAUGCCUGGGAACAAAACAUCAAGACUUAAAUACACUUUGUGAAAGUAAAAUGUAAAGGCAGUCUUUCGUUUUCACCGGUUCCUUUGUUCUCACCAACGGUCGCCUGGAGGAUGGAGCGCCAGGCACGGUGGCUGCAAGUCGGACGCGUGAGCCUGACGGACGUGCCUGAGUGAGGUGCAACCAAACACGGAUAGUUGAGGCUCAAGCAAAUCGCUCCAGCACAGCAACCAAACUAGCCCAACAUGCAUUAACAUUGUGACAUCUUUGUUCUACAACUGCUCCAUUAAGUACAAGUUCAAAAACGAAGUCCAGCCAACUACUAUAACUAUUAAUAUGGAUCGGAGGGAGUACUGAAAUUUCUUUCGGAUAGGUGUAUAUGGUGUUAGAAUUUUACAGGCUCCUUUUACACCUUAUUAUGUUUUGGUUUUUGACGAGAAUCCUUUCAGAAUUUUUAUUGAGUCACUUGACUUGCAUUUCUGUGACUGUGAGUAUACAUCUGUAACUUCCACACAGAACCUAAGGCUGGAGGAGUAUGAGCUACGAAGAAAUGAGACCACCCAUAGCAUAGCAGUUAACCUAAAUAGGUUUGAUGUCGUACCUAGUAAGUCAGACGCCGCUGCUCUUUUCCUGUCCUGCCGGCGAGCUUCCAGACCGCCGCCGCUUCGUCCCGGUUCGUCGCCGCUGCCCGCCACAUUCGGGAUCGACUACAGGAUCUCAAGCCAUGCUUCCGCAUAGUCGAUCCAUGGUCCGAUUUAGGGAUCAGGUCCCAAGAUCUGAGAGUUGGCUGGAGGAUUUGGGGAUUAGGGUUCUUGUUCGGCCUGUGUGAAGCGGAGAAGGCCGUUUGUGCGGAGAAGAGAGAAGACGCUCUACGGGCUGCCGAAAUUAGACCAGCCCACAUAAAACUCCGACUGGACCUGCCAUUCCACUCUAGCCACUGUAGAGACCCGGACCGAUUUUCCAAGCAUUUUUUAUUCGGUUUUGAACAAAGCACAAAACAAUGUAUGUUCCAAAUGGGAAAAUUUGAAAUCAUGAAAUUUAAUUAAAUAAUGGAAAUAUUAUAAAAAACAAACAUUAAAAAAACAAAAUUUGAGGACAUGACAUUUUUUGUUGAAAAUUUCAAAAACGCGGACAAUUUUUAGGCAUAGUUGUGAAGCACAUAUGCACUUUUCACAUGGUGUGCUUGACGCGAGGGGAAAUACAGAACACAAAAAGAUGGAUCUUUUUUGUCAAGAAAACCUAUGAAAUAACAAACAAAAUCCGAAAAACCAAAAAAAUGCAUGGAGACAAAAAAAAAUUGUGCUCCCAUGAAUGCGCCCAAAGCGCGACACGUGGCGGCGGUUGGUCGCACCACAUGGUUCGCCCAUGUGCGCUCGUUGUGAGCUCCUCCCGGGGGUACCGCUGGUUAGUUGACCCCAUUCUUAGGAGUUCUUAUUAACCAUCCGCAAGCUUGGCUAAGAGCAAGAGUAGGUCGGCGGCACAGUUUGCCCGUGAGCGAUUUUUUAAAAAUUAUCUUCAGUCUUUUAGGUUGUCGGUUUGCCCGUGAGCGAUUUAAAAAAAAUUAUCUUCAGUCUUUUAGGUUGUUUCUCAACCCCCCAAAAAAUGGCUGUUGUUUUUUAGGAGCUACAUAUUUGAAAACCUAUUUAUUUUAAUAAUAUUCUUUACAAAGUUGUUCAGUAUGUUUUUUAUAGAAAAGAUUGUUCUAUAUUAAAAGAAGUUCAUCGUAUACUAAAAAAAAUCAGUAGGAAGAAAUGAAUAUGACAUGUAGGCCCACAUAGUAAGUGAGAGAAGUGAGUAAUCCCGGUUUAAUUUCGACCACACAUACAAUUUUUUUUAGGGGUAAACCAUACAUACAACUUCAAGCUUUAAAAUAGACUUUACUCAACCCACUUCAUUUCAUGUGACCUUUAAAAACGGAGGCAUACACGCUCCUGGCCUUACAAAGACACCAUUAAGGUCAGGCAAAAACUCGCAGGUAACACACCUUCAAGUUGUCCCUACCAAGAUCGGUAUAAGUAGCGGUCAAUGUAUAUGGAAAAUAUGGACAUGGCAAUUGCGUCCAGGAUUCACGUAUAAGAAGCACAUUUCAUAAAGGCAUCAAACUGUCUCCCACUCUUCCAUAAGCCACGAGUCGCAUUGUGGCCUCCAGGGGUUGCGGAUAAAUUGUAGAGAGAUCUAUUAAUGCAUAUACUUUAACUCCGCCUAUGUUGUCUCAACAUAGCCGGUCCCAAGCCCGGGUAAAGGAGGAGGGUUGUGAUAGGCUUGGCGAGCCAACGUAAAAACUCAGCCACUCUUAUGGAGAUGAAACCCAAAAGAUUUUCGUUGGGGCGUAACCCUCUCAGCGACGCGCCACAUCGGAACCCGGGUGUGGUGAAAAAUGGGCAAGGGCCGGGCCGUCACCCCCCAAGUGGCGCCCCGUAUCUUGAUCCGGAUACGGUGGCAAGUGAGCGAGGAUCGGGUCGUCGCAUCCUUAGUGGCGCGCUACAUCGGCGCCCGGAUGUAGUGGAAAAUAAGCAAGGGUCUUCGCAUUUGACUCGACGAGUGCGAAGGGUAAGGAAGCUAGCCGAGCCUAGGAGGAUUCGCUUAGGUAGCUGGAACGUAGGGUCUCUGACAGGGAAGCUUCGGGAGCUAGUUGAUGCAGCAGUGAGGAGAGGUGUUGAUAUCCUUUGCGUCCAAGAAAUCAAAUGGAGAGGACAGAAGGCGAAGGAGGUGGAGGAUACCGGCUUCAAGCUGUGGUACACGGGGACGGCUGCAAACAGAAAUGGCGUAGACAUCUUGAUCAACAAGAGCCUCAAGUAUGGAGUGGUAGACGUCAGGAGACGUGGGGACCGGAUUAUCCUGGUCAAGCUGGUAGCUGAGGACUUGGUUCUCAAUGUUAUCAGCGCAUAUGCCCCGCAAGUAGGCCACAAUGAGAACACCAAGAGGGAGUUCUGGGAAGGCUUGGAAGACAUGGUUAGGAGUGUACCGAUUGGUGAGAAGCUCUUCAUAGGAGGAGACCUCAAUGGCCACGUGGGUACAUCUAACACAGGUUUUGAAGGGGCGCAUGGGGGCUUUGGCUAUGGCAUCAGGAAUCAAGAAGGAGAAGAUGUCUUAAGCUUUGCUCUAGCCUACAACAUGAUUGUAGCUAACACCCUCUUUAGAAAGAGAGAAUCACAUCUGGUGACUUUUAGUAGUGGCCAACACUCUAGCCAAAUUGAUUUCAUCCUCUCGAGAAGAGAAGAUAGGCGUGCGUGCCUAGACUGUAAGGUGAUACCUGGGGAGAGUGUUGUACCCCAGCAUAAGCUGGUGGUUGCUGACUUCCGCUUUCGGAUUCGUGUCCAGCGGGAUAAGCGUGCCAAGGUCGCUAGAACGAAGUGGUGGAAGCUCAAGGGGGAGGUAGCUCAGGUGUUCAAGGAGAGGGUAUUUAAGGAGGGCCCUUGGGAGGAAGGAGGGGAUGCGGACAAUGUGUGGAUGAAGAUGGCGACUUGCAUUCGUAAGGUGGCCUCGGAGGAGUUUGGAGUGUCCAGGGGAAGGAGAAGCGAAGAUAAGGAUACCUGGUGGUGGAAUGAUGAUGUCCAGAAGGCGCUUAAAGAGAAGAAAGAUUGCUUCAGACGCCUAUACCUGGAUAGGAGUGCAGACAACAUAGAGAAGUACAAGAUGGCGAAGAAGGCCGCAAAGCGAGCUGUUGGUGAAGUAAGGGGUCGGGCAUAUGAGGACCUCUACCAACGGUUAGGCACGAAGGAAGGUGAAAGGGACAUCUAUAAGAUGGCUAAGAUCCGGGAGAGGAAGACGAGGGAUAUUGGCCAAGUCAAAUGCAUCAAGGACGGAGCAGGCCAACUCUUGGUGAAGGACGAAGAGAUUAAGCAUAGAUGGCGGGAGUACUUCGACAAGCUGUUCAAUGGGGAGAAUGAGAGUUCUACCAUUGAACUGAAUGACUCCUUUGAUGAGACCAGCAUGCGUUUUGUGCGGCGCAUCCAGGAGUCUGAGGUGAAGGAGGCUUUAAAAAGGAUGAAAGAAGGCAAGGCGAUGGGCCCUGAUUGUAUCCCCAUUGAGGUGUGGAAAGGUCUCGGGGACAUAGCGAUAGUAUGGCUAACCAAGCUUUUCAACCUCAUUUUUCGGGCAAACAAGAUGCCAGAAGAAUGGAGACGGAGUAUAUUAGUACCAAUCUUCAAGAACAAGGGGGAUGUUCAGAGUUGUACUAAUUACCGUGGAAUUAAGCUGAUGAGCCAUACAAUGAAGCUAUGGGAGAGAGUCAUUGAGCACCGCUUAAGAAGAAUGACAAGCGUGACCAAAAAUCAGUUUGGUUUCAUGCCUGGGAGGUCGACCAUGGAAGCCAUUUUCUUGGUACCACAACUUAUGGAGAGAUAUAGGGAGCAUAAGAAGGACUUGCAUAUGGUGUUCAUUGACUUGGAGAAGGCCUAUGAUAAGAUACCGCGGAAUGUCAUGUGGUGGGCCUUGGAGAAACACAAAGUCCCAGCAAAGUACAUUACCCUCAUCAAGGACAUGUACAAUGAUGUUGUGGCAAGUGUUCGAACAAGUGAUGUCGACACCGAUGACUUCCCGAUUAAGAUAGGACUGCAUCAGGGGUCAGCUUUGAGCCCUUAUCUUUUUGCAUUGGUGAUGGAUAAGGUCACAAGGGGUAUACAAGGAGAUAUCCCAUGGUGUAUGCUCUUUGCGGAUGAUGUGGUGCUAGUUGACGAUAGUCGGACGGGGGUAAAUAGGAAGUUAGAGUUAUGGAGACAAACCUUGGAAUCGAAAGGGUUUAGGCUUAGUAGAACUAAAACCGAGUACAUGAUGUGCGGUUUCAGUACUACUAGCUGUGAGGAGGAGGAGGUUAGCCUUGAUGGCCAGGUGGUACCUCGGAAGGACACCUUUCGGUAUUUGGGGUCAAUGUUGCAGGAGGAUGGGGGUAUUGAGGAAGAUGUGAACCAUCGAAUCAAAGCCGGAUGGAUGAAGUGGCGCCAAGCUUCUGGCAUUCUCUGUGACAAGAGAGUGCCACAAAAACUAGAAGGCAAGUUCUACAGGACGGCGGUUCGACCCGCAAUGUUGUAUGGCGCGGAGUGUUGGCCGACUAAAAGGCGACAUGUUCAACAGUUAGGUGUGGCGGAGAUGCGUAUGUUGAGAUGGAUGUGUGGCCACACGAGGAAGGAUCGAGUCCGGAAUGAUGAUAUACGAGAUAGAGUUGGGGUAGCACCAAUUGAGGAGAAGCUUGUCCAACAUCGUUUGAGAUGGUUUGGGCAUAUUCAGCGCAGGCCUCUAGAAGCUCCAGUACAUAGCGGACGGCUAAAGCGUGCGGAGAAUGUCAAGAGAGGGUGGGGUCGACCGAUUUUGACAUGGGAGGAGUCCGUUAAGAGAGACCUGAAGGAUUGGAGUAUCGACAAAGAGCUAGCUAUGGACAGGGGUGCGUGGAAGCUUGCUAUCCAUGUGCCAGAGCCAUGAGUUGGUUGCGAGAUCUUAUGGGUUUCACCUCUAGCCUACCCCAACUUGUUUGGGACUAAAGGCUUUGUUGUUGUUGUUGUAUCUAUUAAUGCAUAUACUUUAACUCAACGCAUACUGUGCUUGAGCGUUCAUUUUUUCCAUUGUAAGUUGCCUUAUCUUUAUUAGCAUGAGAAAGCAAUGAUUCAUUCUUUCCAUUAUUCCUUAAGUAUACAAUUAACUCAAGGUUUUUCAAUGGAUAUGAUAAGCUGGAGAAGAAGAAAUGAGCAGGCAAGAAGCCAAUGACUACCACAUAUAAUCAGGUCAGUACAAAACAAGCAGACUUGGUAAAUAAUCAAAGCAAAAGCAGACUUGGUAAAUAAUCUCAGUCAAGUCAAAUUACAGGGUCUUAACGGCUGAAAUCAUUUCAUAGAUACAUCAGGACUAAAUCAAAGCAAAAGCAAAAACUGCAGAGGGAAAAAAAGAGGAGUCAUUGGAGAGCUAUACCAAAGCUGUAGCCCCAUGGUUUAGUUGUGAUAACUGAAGGUCCAACACUUGUAAAAGAUUCCAUAUAAUUGUCGGUAACAACUGUCAGCCUCUACCCUGGGGUCAGGCUUCCACUCUUGGUCUGCCAAUGCGUGAGAAAGAUGGAACAUAGGGAAGAUAUGGAGGAAAUGUAUGAUACGAGUGCUCUUUUAGACUGCAGAUAACACGAGCUUUACCACGGUCCAUGUCAUAUGACAGUAACACAUCCUCGCACCUCCAAACAAAGAAUAUCAAAUUGCAUUCAGGAUGGAUUGCGAUGAAAGCAUAGUCCCUUUGCAACAAGAGAUCAGCAUAGUCCCGUUGUAACGUGACAUCCUUCUCCCCAAAAGCUCCCCGAAAAGUUGUGAAGUGCUGAUGUUGUACUUAAAGAUCCAUUCAUUACCAUUAUAGUCCUCAAGAAUCCAGACUGAUAAUUUGGAGCUAUCAUUGUCUCUCAUAUUUAUAUAAUACAGUCGCCCUUGAGAUUGACCAAUAAAAGCAAGGUCACCUAAAUAAAUGUUUUCAUCACACAUAGUUUCCAGCAAAGAAAUGGUCCUCCAUGUCUUACCCUCAGUGUCAACUGCUAGUAUCUUAAACUCACGUGUGAGCAAGUGCAUCAUUCCAUUGAAAAAGACCUCUCAUCUCAACUAUCUGAAUCUCAUUGUCGCCCCAACCAUUUUCCUUGUAACUCCAGGCUCCUGUCUCUGAUGAGUAGAUAUUAACACCUGAGAUAUAUCCAUAGUCCUCAUCAUCCUCUAGGAUCUGGAACACAUGGAAGUGGAGUGACAUGGCUCCAUCGAAACCCAAACGGUAGGCUAUUGCAUCACUUUUAUGGCCAGCAUCAGGCAGGACUACCCAUUCCUCAGUGGCAGGAUUGCAUACCACAUAAUCGGCUUCGUCUAUUGGGGAGUCCUUCCAGCAGAGGCAGAAAAUAAGGCCAUUGCAGCAGUCCUUUGGGAAAAUCUGCCUGUAUGCGGUCAAGAAGGGCAACGAGGAAUCAGGGAAUAGCUGCUCUUGAUCCCUUGAAAUACCAUCAAAAGUGGGAAAUGUUAUCACAUCAUACUCAUCAUUGAGUCUGUGCUUGGGGUAGAAGAAGCCGGAGAUGGUCUGGGGAAGCCUUUUGCGGUGUUCAGGGUGGGAGAUGAGGCUGUACCAGAGCCGGGAGACACACUUGAAUCGGCACACUGACUUGACUGGCAGCAGGGACAGAAUCUCGAUGAUAAGGUCAUCUGUAAGGUCAGCAACAGAGGUUGCCCCGUUCUUGGAGCGGUUCAUCUGUGUGCAAGCCAAUCUGACAAGUUGAGAAGGAAAACGAAAAUAACCAGAUCAAACAUCAGUGCAGGACAGAAUGAAAGGAUGGAAGAAAGAGCACGGAGGCAGAACAGGCAUACCAGUCUACUGAAGCACGGAGCGGCAACAAUGGAAGUGGCUAUCAACGGCGGUUCUGCGGCUGACGGCUGGGAACAAAAGUUACAGUGGCUCAGAUAGUUGAAUUAAUUGCCAAACAACAAAGAAUAAAUCAAAAUAGUACAAGCUAUUGAUAGCGGCGUGUAACAAGUUUGCUAAUACUAUUUGAAACUUACUGGUUGCAAACAACGCCUGAGGACAAAACGUCAAGACUUAAAUACACUUUGUGAAAGCUAAAUGUAAAGGUAGUCUUUUGUUUUCAUCGGUUCCUUCAUUCUCACCAACGACCGCCUCGAGGAUGGAGUGCCAGGCACGGUGGGCUGCAAGUCGGACGCCUGAGUCUGACGGACGUGCCUGAGUGAAGCUACGUCUCUUUGAUCAGUUAUCUUUCCAGAAUAAAUACUAGCUAGGGUUUUCAAUUUUGCUCCCAGUGUAUCCAUAAAUGAGACAUUUGUUCAAGGAGGAACCCUUCCGGGAAUGUAAUUACGAAUAAAUGGUUUAUUUCCAAAUUAGCGCCAUCUCAGUGUGGCAACCAAACACGAAACGUAGAGUCUCAAGCAAAUCGCUCCAGUGCAGCAACCAAGCUAGCCCAACAUGGUUAACAAUGUGACAUCUUUGUUCUACAACCACUCCAUUAAGUACAAGUUCAAAAACGUAGUCUAGCCGACUAACUAUUAACAUGGAUACACGGUGUUAGAAUUUUACAGGCUCCUUUUACAACUUUUUUGUUUUUGUUUUUGAGAAUCCUUUCAGAAUUUUUAUUGAGGCACUUGACUUGCAUUUCUGUGACUGUGACUAUACAUCUGUUACUUCGACGCAGAACCUAACGCUGGAGGAGUAUUAGCUGCAAAGAAAUGAGACCGCCCAUAGCAGUUAACCUAAAUAGUACUUCCUCCAUUCCUAAAUAUAAAGUCUUCUAGAGUUUUUAAUAUGGACCACAUAAGGAUGUAUAUAGACAUAGUUUAGAGGGUAGAUUCACUCAUUUUGCUCCGUAUGUAGUCUAUAUUGAAAUCUGUAGAAACACUUGUAUUUAGGAACGGAGGGAGUAGUUUUGAUGUCGUACCUAUUAAGUCAGACGCCGCUGCUCAACCUCCGCUUGUCCUGUCCUGCCGGCGAGCUUCCAGACCGCCGCCGCUGCCCGCCACAUCCGGGAUCGGCAGGAGCUCAAUCCAUGCUGCCGCAUAGUCAAUCCAUGGUCCGAUUUAGGGAUCGGGUCUCAAGAUUUGAGAGAGGGCUGGAGGAUUUGGGGAUUAGGGUUCUUGUUCGUCCUGUCUCCUGUGUGUAUGAGGCCGUUUGUGAUUUUGUGGGGAGUGCGUCACGCAAGGAGAAGACGCUCUACGGGCUUCGGCCCAAAUUAGACCGGCCCGCAGAAAACUCGGCCCUAAAAUCUUGUGACUGACAUAAUAAAGCUUUAGCGGUUUCUCAAAAAAAAAAAAGCUUUAGCGAGAUUGUCAAAAAGAAACUGUAGUAAUUGUUGUGAAAUCAUUGGUCAAGGAUACUCUUUGCAAAUGUCAUCCUCACAUCUUUUUGUGAUGACAAAUGGUGUACUGUAUGUACGACACUUGUCACAGCCUAGGUUUUUUUUUGUAUAUUCAUUCUUCCUAAACUUUUUAUCUAUUAAAUCUUGCGCCCAAACCAUGAACCAUUAUUAUCCUUGCGUUUCUUGCGUUGACAUCUUCAAAAUUAGAUCUCAUGUUAAUAGAUUCGGACAAACCUUUUUCUGAAAAAAGCAGAAAACAAAAAAAUCAGAAACUAAUUCUUUUGGAAAAAUGGAAAUAAAAAUAAAAAUCAGAAAAAACACAUAGUGUGCUUCACGCGAGGAAAACACACAAAAAAAGUAUGGAUCUUUUUUGUCGAGAAAAUUUAUGAAAUAACAAACAAAAUCUUAAAAAAACGCAUGGAGACAAAAAAUUGUGCUCCCACAGAUGUGCCCAAAGCAUGACAUGUGACGGCGGUUGGCCAUAUCACGCGGUUCACCCAUGCGUACCCGCUGUGAACUCCUCCCGGGGAUACCGUUGGUUAGUUGACCCCAUUCUUAAGAGCUCUUAUUUACCACCCGCAAGCUUGGCUGAUAGCAAGAGCAGGUUGGUGGCACAAUUUGCCCGUGAGCGAUAUAAAAAAAAUCUUCAGUCUUUUAGGUUGUUUCUCACCCCCCCCCCUCCCAAAUAGUUGUUAUUUUUUAAAAUUAAAAUGGUUGUUAUUUCUUAGGAGCUACAUAUUUGAAAACCUAUUAAUUUUAAUAAUAUUCUUUAGAAAAUUGUUCAGUAUGUUUUUUAUAAAAAAUUUGUAUAUUAAAAAAAGUUCAUCAUAUAUUUAAAAAGUUCAGUAGGAAGAAAUGAAUAUGACAUGUAGGCCCACAUAGUAAGUGAGAGAAGUGAGUGAUCCCAGUUUAAUUUCGACCACACAUACAAUACAACUUCAAGGUUUAAAAUAGACUUUACUCAACCCACUCCAUUUCCUGUGAUCUUUAAAAACGGAGGCAUACACGCUCCUGGCCUUGCAAGGACACCAUUAAGGUCAGGCAAAAACUCCCAAAGGUAACACAACUUCAAGUUGUUCCUUCCAAGAUUGAUAUAAGUAGCGGUCAACAUAUAUGGGAAAUACGGACCUGGCAAUUGCGUCCAGGAUUCAGGAUUCACGUACAAGAAGCACAUUUCAUAAAGGCAUCACACUGUCUCCCAUAAACCACAAAUCACAUUGCGGCCUUGAUGGGUUGUGGAUAAACUGUAGAGAGAUCCAUUAAUGCAUAUACUUUAACUCGACGCAUACGUGCUACAACCAGGCCCGUCGAGGAGGGUGUGCAAGCGGUGCAAUCGCACAGGGCCCCGCAAAUCGUAGGGGCCCCGAUCAGAGAAAAAAACCAUGAUAUGAUCCGGUUCAUGCGCUGCAUGUUUGACUUUUUUAACUGGCUCGCCUGAUCCUACCGCAAGAAAACUGCAGCCGAAUGCAGCAACUCGCAGUCUCAUCGUUACGGGUGAGGCCCAUAGUCUUUUUUUACGAGUGAGGCCCAUAGUCAAUAUCGUCGUUCUCCACUAGUCGCAGCAAACAGGCCCCCAGCCGGAUGCACGAGAUCAAAUAGAUAGUUUUGUCUCUCCGAAAAAAAAAAACAACUUCACCAAAGAGAAAUAGGGAGGCGCCGUCUACCUGCUUCUACGAAGGGACGAGCUGCCGAUAGAUGGCGGACGGCCACCGCGCGUCCGCUGUACGGCCGAACGUGGGCACCUAUUUCCCUGCUGCAGCAGUCUCAUCUGAUCAUCCCAGAAUAUAUUCCGAGGUACUCCCUCCGUUCCGAAUUACUUGUCACAGGUAUGGAUGUAUCUAGAUGUAUUUUAGUUCUAGAUACAUCUAUUUCUGCGACGAGUAAUUUAGAAUGGAGGGAGUAAGUCGUAAUCCAUAAGCCCGGAUUCAAAAUAUGCGGACGAGAAACUAGUUAGGGUUAUAUAUUUUUUGAUACAAUUCUGGUUUUUUUGAUGUUUUCAUAUCGUACCGAAUGCAAUCCCUACAAAUAGAGCAGUGCUACUCCACUAGGCCUGUACUUCAUUUUAAUCAAAAUUAAUAGGCUUGAGACAUUACCCGCAAUCUAAUUUUUAAUUCUAGUACCAUUCUUUGGUGUGUGCUUUUCUACUAUACUACUAGCAUAUUUCAUUGCAAAAAAGACUCAAUCGAUUUUUUCUUUUAUGAGAAUAGACUCGACAGAUUUAAAGAUUUUGUUUAAGAAAUACUAGACAGAUGAUGCUUUUCGGUAGAAUAUACGUUUACUCUUUCGCAUUACUAUGUGAUAAAUAUUAUACGAAAUAACACAUAUUCAAAACUAUAUUAUUAAGUGAAAAUAUGUCUAGUUAUAUUAGUUAUACAAUUUUCUGCAAACCUUUGGGCCCCGUGUCACAUUUUGCACUGGGGCCCCAAAUUCCUGGAGACGGCCCUGGCUACAACGUCCAUAUGUUCCAUUGUAAGUUGCCUUAUUUCUAUUAGCAUGAGAAAGCAACAAUUCAUUCUUACAUACGUUUAGAUUUUUUCAUUAUUCCCUGAGGAUACAUCGAACUCAAGGUUUUUCAAUGGAUAAGAUAUACUGGAAGAGAAAUGAGCAGGCAAGAAACCAAUGAGUAGCACAUAUAAUCAGGUCACUCAAAAACAAGCAGACUUGGUAAAUAAUUUCAGUCAAGUCAAACUAGAGGGUCUUAAUGACUGAAACUAUUUCAUAGAUAUAUCAGGACUAAACCAAAGCAAAAGCAAAAACCACAGAGAGAAAAAAGAAAAGCAUUAAGAGCUAUACCAAGCUGUAGCCCUAUGGUUUAGUUGUGAUAAACUGAAGGCCCAACACUUGUAAAAGACUCCAUAUCAUUGUCGGUAACAACUGUCAGCCCCCACCCUGGAGUCAUGCUUCCACCCUUGGUCUGCCAAUGUGCGAGUAAAGUGGAACAUAGGGAAGAUAUGGAGGAAAUGUGUCGGAGAAGUGGCUUUUCAGACUGCAGAUAACACAAACUUCACCACUGUCCAUGUCAUGACACUAGCACAUCCUUGCUCCUCCAAACAAAGAAUAUCAAAUUGCAUUCAGGAUGGAUUGCGAUCAAAGCAUAGUCCCUUUGCAACAUGAGAUCAGCAUAGUCCUGUUGUAAGUUGAGAUCCUUCUCCCCAAAAAGCUCCAAAAUAAGUUGUGCAAUGCUGAUGCUGUACUUAAAGGUCCAUUCAUUACCAUUAUAGUCCUCAAGAGUCCAGACAGAUAAUUUGGAGCUAUCGUUGUCUGUCGUAUUUAUAACAUACAAUCGCCCUUGGGAUUGACCGAUAAAAGCAAGAGGACCUAC